UAGGCCGACUGAGAGGUGUUCUGUUUUGGGGGGGUUGUUUGCUUUGUGUUUUAAAACAGUCUCAUGUGGUCCAGUCUGACCUGAGCUUACUGUGUGACCGUCUGAUCCUCCUGCCUCUACUCCAGGGUGCUGGGGUUGCACGUGUGUGCUGCCAAGCACUCUCGGAACUGAGAUGUCUCUCGUCUCAAGAGUUUUGGGAACUACCUAUGGUUUAGGUGUCAGAGCACGGUACUAAGCCAACAGGGAGAAGGUGGGGCUAAGUGUACAGUCACCAAGGAUCCGAAGACCAGACUUUGAGAUGGAAAGGAGUAACAGAAGUCAAAAUCUGGCAGCCAGACUGAUGAAGAGUAGCGAUAAAGAGUAGCUAACUAAAGAGUAACUUGGCAAGCCCAAAGAAAAGAAAGGAAAGAAAACAUGGCUAUCAAGAGGGAAGAGAGGAAGGCCUUGGAAAAGGGAAGAAGUUCCCUAUCAGACCUUCAGGCUCCUGUACAAAGUGAUCCCUGCGGUCAUCUCGCAAGCACGGGAGGAGAGCUUCCUACACAGCUUUUUUUUUUUAAACUUAAAGAAGUUCAAAAUCCCUUCCUGAACACUACACUCUAGUAUUUGAAAUUGCCAUACCUGUAAAAUGCAUCUAAACUUAAGGGAGACUGAGCCAAAAUGAUGGCCACGUGAAGUAAUUCUUUAUGAGAAGAACAAUGAAGUUCAUCACACUCCCUGGGAGCACCAGUUGGAGGGGAGACCCCACUGUGCUUAUGUGCUGAAGACACAAAGGCUGGAGAGAGCAGUUCCAGGGAGGUACCCUGUCUCCUGUGACUCUUACACCAACAGCUAGACAGUGAUGGGUUCCCCCUGUCCUAAAUGGAUCACUCAGAGACAACUAAGAGAAAAUUAGAUUGUUUUGAAAUGAAAGUAAAGGUUGGAUUUAAAAAGUCUGUUCUUCAAAGCAUGCCCAACUGUGGGCUGCAUGCUCCUCAAGAUAGUUAUGAGUCAAACCCCAAAUCACACACUUACCACAGUCUGAGGAUGCUGCAGAGAGCUCAGGGGUAAGUGCUUCCGGAGCUGACAUCGACUUCCUAGGACCCACAUAAGACAGACAAAGGAACAAGCAACACUUGCGGGGUUUGUGACUUUUUAAAAAAGCUUGUGAUUCUCAAGUGUGAUCUUGGCAGAUGGCAAUGUCUUGUGAUAUCGAAGUCCAAACACCUGGAAAGGGCAUAACUAAUCAAACUGAUCUAGAAGAAUACUUCUCUAGGGCUUUUAAAAGUCAGAGUGCAAGUUCUUGCUACUAGCUCAGCCAGCACUAAAGAUUCAGUUUAUUCUCAUCUACAAAAUGAAUUGCUCAAACUACAGCACAGAACCAUCAACACACGCAACAAAAUCAUCUCUAAUGGGAAAUCACUGGCUGAGUUUCCAGAACAGAGGAUCACCUCUGCCACCUUUCAGGGUUUGUCUGGCUGUUAUCUACUGUUAUCUAGGUAAGAUAUUACAGCACACACACACACACACACACACACACACACUCUCUCUCUCUCUCUCUCACACACACACACACACACACACACACACACACACACGAGUCUGCUCAUCUGGCAUCUAAUAGCAUGUGUGCCUGUGGCCAUGCUUCCCCAGGGCCGUGUGCACAAGCACUAAUGCUCAUAUUUUGUUAACACAUCCCUCUUUGCCUGGGUCCUGGCGGUCUUAAAGUGUGACUGGUUGAUAGCCUCUGUGUGCUGCAGUAUUAUAAUGUGCACUUUCAGGUUUAGUGUGUAAUUAAAACUCCUGUUCUUAAAACAUCUAAAACCCAAAUGUUUGACAAAUGGCACCAAGUACUAUGUGAGUAAAGUAAACAUUAACUCACCCAGCAAGUUCUGAAUUUUCUACUAGAAUUAUUUUAGACAUGCGAGGCUACAUGCUUGUCAGAUUUCCCAAAAUGAACUUUGUAUAAAAACCACACUGGCCCUUCAGCUGGGUUUUCUUCUAUUGCUUAUAGAUAAAUAGAAAACAAAUGUUUAAAAAAAGAAAAAAAAAGCCUAGUGAACUGCAAACAGGCUGCCAGGGUGAGCGCUUUUCUCUAAGAUUAGUCUAUACUGAAGUGUGUGACCAGAGUCACUGAAGUCUCGAUUUCCCUAAUGGUGACUUUCACAAUGUGCAGAAAACCAUUGGCAGCCUCCAUUCCCUCCGCUGGUCGCUGAGACUAAAACAGGAGGCACAUUUCAUUCUGGGUGUCACUGCACUGCAAAUAGAGAACUUUGGGGGCAAGUUUUAAGUGUUUUAGUGAAUAUUGUACAUGGGGUUAUGGGUAUUUCGCUCAUCUACCUAAGCCUGGAGUGAAUGCUUGACCAAAACACAAGAUCACAGACAAUAUAAUUAGCAGAAAAACUCAGAACACAUGCACGGAUUAUUGGAUGACUUACUUGCGUUAUAAACAAACAAACAAAGUCAGGCAGAGGCAGGUGGAUCUGUGAGUUCUAGGCCAGCCUGGUCUCCAGAGUGGGUUCCAGGACAGUCAGGGCUAUACAGAGAAACCCUGUCUCAAAAAAACAAAACAGCAACAACAGCAACAAAAGCCCCACAAACAAACACAACAACAAAAAACAAAACCACAAAAAAAGUUAAUGUAACAAAAAUACUUAAUUUAGAAAAAGCAUGUUAAGUUACCAGGAGCUUAUAUUGAAGCCAAAUGUUCAGACUAUUAAAACACCUUGGACUUUUAAUUUUGUUUUGUAUUUGCCUGUAAAAAUAUUGUCCUUGGGCUUGAGAGAUUCUCAGCAGCUAGGAGCAUGUACUGUUCUUGCAGAGAGCCUGAGUUCUGAGCCCGGUAUCCACAUGCUAGCUCACAACCGCUGGUAGAUAGUUCUAGUUCCUGGGUAUCCUGGGUGCCCAAUGUCCUCACCUGGCUCCUGUGGACUCUUCAAUGUACACGAUCCCUAUAAACUCACACAGGCCCACGCAUUAUGUUGGCCUGCGCCUGUCACUUGGCAGAAGGCACCCGGGCAGUACCCUGGUCAGCCCAGGGUUCAAUGAGUACUAGUCUGCUCUCAGGUGCAAAGGACCCUUUUAAAAGACAGACCCCGCCCACUUAGCUCUCUUUCCUGCUCCCACCUCCCCCCCCCCAGCUCUCCCCUGCCCUCUUCUCUGGUUCCCUUGGGGCAGACAAGACUUUUCCUGUCUCCGUCUUCUCUUCUGUCCCCUCUGUCUCUAUGUCUCUUUACCUCUUUCUUAGUUCCUUUCCCCACCUUCUAAUAAAGCUUCUCACUUAAA